UGCUCUCUAUCUUCUGUC
rnacentral:snRNA from 1 species